GAUGACCGAGUGCGGACGGGUGAGUAAUGCUUGGGAACUUGCCUUUGCGAGGGGGAUAACAGUUGGAAACGACUGCUAAUACCGCAUAAUGUCUUCGGACCAAACGGGGCUUCGGCUCCCGGCGCAAAGAGAGGCCCAAGUGAGAUUAGCUAGUUGGUAAGGUAACGGCUUACCAAGGCGACGAUCUCUAGCUGUUCUGAGAGGAAGAUCAGCCACACUGGGACUGAGACACGGCCCAGACUCCUACGGGAGGCAGCAGUGGGGAAUAUUGCACAAUGGGGGAAACCCUGAUGCAGCCAUGCCGCGUGUGUGAAGAAGGCCUUCGGGUUGUAAAGCACUUUCAGUUGUGAGGAAAAGUUAGUAGUUAAUACCUGCUAGCCGUGACGUUAACAACAGAAGAAGCACCGGCUAACUCCGUGCCAGCAGCCGCGGUAAUACGGAGGGUGCGAGCGUUAAUCGGAAUUACUGGGCGUAAAGCGCACGCAGGCGGUUUGUUAAGCUAGAUGUGAAAGCCCCGGGCUCAACCUGGGAUGGUCAUUUAGAACUGGCAGACUAGAGUCUUGGAGAGGGGAGUGGAAUUCCAGGUGUAGCGGUGAAAUGCGUAGAUAUCUGGAGGAACAUCCGUGGCGAAGGCGACUCCCUGGCCAAAGACUGACGCUCAUGUGCGAAAGUGUGGGUACGCGAACAGGCUUAGAUACCCUGGUAGUCCA
rnacentral:rRNA from 1 species